rnacentral:rRNA from 1 species
GAUGAACGCUGGCGGCGUGCCUAAUACAUGCAAGUCGAGCGAACGGACGAGAAGCUUGCUUCUCUGAUGUUAGCGGCGGACGGGUGAGUAACACGUGGAUAACCUACCUAUAAGACUGGGAUAACUUCGGGAAACCGGAGCUAAUACCGGAUAAUAUUUUGAACCGCAUGGUUCAAAAGUGAAAGACGGUCUUGCUGUCACUUAUAGAUGGAUCCGCGCUGCAUUAGCUAGUUGGUAAGGUAACGGCUUACCAAGGCAACGAUGCAUAGCCGACCUGAGAGGGUGAUCGGCCACACUGGAACUGAGACACGGUCAAGACUCCUACGGGAGGCAGCAGUAGGGAAUCUUCCGCAAUGGGCGAAAGCCUGACGGAGCAACGCCGCGUGAGUGAUGAAGGUCUUCGGAUCGUAAAGCUCUGUUAUUAGGGAAGAACAUAUGUGUAAGUAACUGUGCACAUCUUGACGGUACCUAAUCAGAAAGCCACGGCUAACUACGUG